rnacentral:rRNA from 1 species
AUGGCUUCCUCCUCAUCCUCAGGUCCACUCAAGCCUGUUGCUGACCUUCCAUCAUCCUGCAGCCCUGCAUCUCAUCAUCCUCUUCAGUUUAUAACUGAUGUUGGUUUGGCUGCCUCUCAUGCUGAAAGCAAGGUUUCACCUUGCCGACAGGCUGAUGGUUCUCCAAGUGCUGAAGUAAUGGGGCCAGAGGUUAGCCUUCCAGAGGAUAUCAUUUGGAAGAUACAUGCCCUUAUGCCUAUUCAAGAUGCCGCUCGUGCUGCCUGCUUGUCUCAUGAUUUUCUUCACUCUUGGAGAUGCUAUCCCAAGCUCAUAUUUGAUAUGAGAGCACUAGGCAAACAAACAAGGGAUUUUAUCAACAUAGUUGACCACAUCAUGCGGAAUCACUCUGGCGUUGGGGUGAAGACAUUUAAAUUGCAAACUCGCGAUGAGUUCACUGUGCAUCCAAGUUAUCUUGAUCGCUGGCUGCAAGUUGCAAUUACACCUGGGAUCAAAGAAUUUACGCUAGGGCUCCCCAUAAAUAGCAAGCUGAAAUAUAACUUUCCUGGUUCACUUCUAUCUCCUGAGGCAGCACACUCAAUCCAGUAUUUUCACAUCACUAGCUGUGCUUUUCAUUCUGUAGGCAAAGUUGGUCGCUUGAGUGGUUUGAAGACUCUUUGUCUGCAUGAUGUUGGUAUUACUGGGGAGGAGUUAUAUCUACUUCUGUCCAAUUCCUUCUUGUUAGAGCAUUUGGAUCUCGAGUCCUGCUACGAUAUACAUUGCUUAAAGAUACCACAUUUUUGGUCGAAGCUUAACAUCCUGGAAGUGCAAUGUUGCAAAAUGUUACAGAUGAUUGAAUGCAGUGCUCCAAACCUCUCCACCUUCAAUUAUGAUGGUCCCCUGAUACAUAUCUCGCUUGGAGGUUCAUUGCAAGUGAAGAAAAUGCAAAUGACAUGUGCUAUUGUGCCUAACCUGCUCCAUUAUGCUAGUGCCAAGCUUUUAUCCAUUGCGCCAAAUGUCCAAACUCUUUUUUUACACUCACUUUAUGAGACAGUCAAUACACCUGUGGUGCUGGGUAAAUUUCUGCACCUCAAGUAUUUGGAGAUAAAACUUUUCAUGCCAAGUCGUUCUCCAGGUUACGACUUCUGUUCUUUGGUUUCUUUUCUUGAUGCUUCUCCCACCUUGAAGACUUUCGUCUUGCGUGUGGAGGCUCCUACCAUGGAAGGUGGUUUGAUUCCUGGAGUCAAUAUUGGCGAGGACUCCUCACUGGCAAGUUGUCUUCCGAAACACCGACAUCGCAAGCUUAAGAGUGUGAUCAUCACUGGCUUUUGCCCCUGGAAGACAAUGAUUGAGCUAACGAGAUGUAUUCUUGAUUAUGCAACGUCACUGAAGCACCUUACCCUGGACACUACUAGUGGAUAUCAUAGGAGGAGGUGGGGCAACUGUUUCCCUUUGGGUAGGGAUACAAUUAUGGAAGCCCGGAAGGCUAUUGCGGCUAUCAAGACAUACAUAGAGGGGAAAGUACCUUCAAAGAUCAAGUUUAAGGUUCUUGAGCCCUGCAACUGCAAUAAGUGUCAAGAAUGUUGA